CUUUUAUGGAGAGUUUGAUCCUGGCUCAGGAUGAACGCUGGCGGCGUGCCUAAUACAUGCAAGUCGAGCGAACGGACAAGG
rnacentral:rRNA from 2 species